UUCGAUCCAGUCAUCAUCCGGCUUCUUCAUGGUCAUCUUCCGGCUACCGGUGCAACUGUCACAAGAUAUUCGUUCUCUAGCUAAAUGCAGAUGUACAAUAGAUGAUCGGGAACAGAGAGUACUUUAGUUUGCAUUACGAUCGCCAGUCCUGUAGCUUGAAAGCAGUCUGGGACGGCGAGGAAAGCACAAGGGUCCGAAAUCACCAGCAGCUUUGCAUCAUGGCCGGUGAUAUGUGUACCCGACAUGAGGUCUGGAGCAUCGAGUCGACGGUGUGGAAUCGCGAGCAAAGCGCGAGGGUACACAAAUCACCGGGUGCACAAAUCCCCGUGACAGCGGUGUACAGUUUGGAGCUCUAACGAAGUCGGAAACGAACAAAUUUUCCGAUGAGGAGAAGUGAUGACGAAGAUGAAGAUGUAGUUUCUGCUGCAACAGUUGCCUACCUACACUGGAAGUGCUGCCUUCGUCGUAGUCAGGCGGGGUGUAUUGUUUGACAGCGUUUCGAACACGCAGCUGGAGGACUUUGCAUGGCUCUGCAAAGGUCCUUUCUUGGAAGAGGGCAGAUUGUCAAGACUCUUUGGCCAUCUUGUUGACAUUACUACACAUCUUGAAUGGAUUCGCUGAACUGGCAUGAAAGUUGAUGGUCCUCCUUCUUCAAAUACACCUUGCUGCCAGUGUGACAACGGAGGGAAUGAUGGGAUUUGUGGACAAUGAAUAUACCAUUUAACGCAUGCAAAGAUGUGUUCAUGUUCAUGUCCAUUAAUUUCAAUAGAAUGUCAGAUGUAAAACAAAACUUUGCCGGGACGAAGGACAAAAUGUUCUUGGUCUACUUCUCCAUUACAACCUGCCCAUGAAGCCAAAAUGACACGACAUAGUCCUGUCCUGUUCUGUUCGCUUUGCCAUUUGUGACAUGUAUCUUUCAUCACCUAUAGUGACAGACUCAUGUUGGUGAUACGUAAUUACAGUGUUGUUGAUGUCAGGAAGCUGAUCUGGCAGGUACAAGAUUUUGUACGUUUGGUACAGAAAUUGCUUUUCUUCGUAAUCAAACGUGAUUAUCCUUGACCAGGAACAGGGCUUGAUGCUUUCAAAAACUACCCAGUUCUUUGUGUGAGCUGUUGUACUAAGUUUGCAAGUUGCUGCUUCCAGUAGAUUAUUUGUAUCUUUUAACACACUUGGCAUUGACUGGUCUUUAAUUUCUAUGCAUUUUAAAGUUUGAAAAGCUGCUUGAAAGAUGUCAUGGAAAUCAUUUUCUGGAUAAAAUUUUGCUGGAGGACUACUGAGAAGGCCAUGUGAAGAAGAUUGCAUAUAUUUGGAAGGUUGGAUCAGUGAAUGGCAUGUCAAAGUAGUGUCCAGCAAAAUCAUGCCACUAUUCAAGCUGCUAGUGCAACAGCUGUGACAUUUGUUUACCAGUUUACGAUGCUGUAUAAUUUAAUUCUAACCAGUUAUAGUCAUUACCGGUUGGAUAUAAUAAUAUAAACACACACGCACACACACACACACACCACAUAUAUAAUAAGCUAAGUGUAUACUGAGCACUGAUAACAAUCUGUGGCAUAUCAGUACUGAGUAGCAAGUCAAAUAACAACCUGUUUGUAGUUGUGUGUGUACAAUGUUGCAUUUAGUAACUCUUGCAUACUGCUUCAAGUGUGCUUUAGCGAAUUACAGUUAAUUAGUAAAAUUCAAGUACA